UACUAAUUAAAUCGAAUCAUCGUUAACCAUUUUUCUCUAUCAUUCUUCUCUAAAUUUGUUAUCGAUUCUAAUCCCAAAAGCCCUAUCAAAAGGUGCGAUUCCAGCUGCUGCAAUAAUAUGUGCGACUGAACAAGCGGAGGUCUAUGAAUCAGAAACCCAAAGGUGCGAUCGACUCCAGCUACGACAAUGGGUGCGACUAAACGGGCAAAGGUCUAUAUGAACGGGCUGAACCCUCUUCGUUGCUGCGAUCGAUUCCAGUGAGACUUUGCUUAAGGUAAAGCAAGCUUUUUUCAUCGAAAGCUAACAUAAAUGCCGCUACGAAGCUUUCUUGGGUUUCCAGUUUCGCGAUUGGGACGAAGAAAUGGGUUUUCGAUGUGGGAAUUGGGAUUUUAGCAGCCUCGAUUGUUGCGAUUUCAGGUGGGCAAAGGUUGAAACUCUCAACAUUUUUGAACCACCAUAAAUAAAUCUCAAUCUCAGUGGGCAAAGGUGGCUUUUGAUAUAGCCAUGGUCGAACACAAACGUUUAAGCAACCAAAUAAUUGUAUCAAGCUAUGUAAAUGGUAGCAAACUCUCAUCAGAAAAACUUAGAACCUUAUUGCUUGUAUGCAAUCCACUGGGGCUAAUGUUAUCAAACUAAUAGUUGAAGUGCAUAAUAUCAUAGAUGUAACUCCAAUUUUCCAUUUGCUUACUCAUUGUCAGGUGCCAUUAAUUGCUACUGCAGUGGGCAGCAGAGGUCUUAUAAGCCAACUUUUGGCACCUAAGUUUGGUGAAUUUUUAGUGUAUGGUUAUCUAAAAAGCCACCCUAUUCCUGGCUUACCAACUUUGGUUAGCCUUAAACAAAUUUAUGAGCUUGAACAUGUAAAUGAGUACACAAAAAUCUUUGGCCUUAUUUCAAAUCCUGUUGGUCAUAGUAAAGGUCCUAUUCUACACAACCCUGCUCUGAGACAUAUUGGAUACAAUGGAAUUUAUGUUCCCAUGAUGAUUGAUAAUGUCAAUGAAUUCUUUCAAACUUACACAAGCAUGGACUUUGCUGGUUUCAGAUGAAUAAAGCUUGGAUGAUUCUGGAGAAUGCGACUCAAGGGACUUUAAAUAACAAGUUACAUGGAUUGGGGUUGCAUCUCUUAGCUGGGGUAAAGCCAUCUGAGAUGUUUUUGAAGUCUAUACCUAAGGAGGUCACAACUGUCGAAGUCACCUACCCUUCAAGGUGGACAUGGUAACUCCUAUGUCCUCUCAAUUAACAUAUGAGGGGCUUUUAAAUGAGAAAGCAUACUAUUGGAUUGAAGCUGAAAUCAUAUUAAAAAAAUAUCAACCAAGAUUUUUUUACAUGUCGUGUGAUUUUUGUAAUAAGGAACUUAUAUUCUACAACGACAAUGAAGAAACAGAUUGUGAAAAUCCAAAAUGCGGAAAAAGAUGUCUUCUUACACCACGUGCAAGGACAUAUGUACAACUCGACGAUGGUACCGAGUUGCUAGAUGCUGUGAUGUUCAGUGAUGUUGCAGAAAACAUAUUCUCAUGUACUGCAGUUCAAUUAAAAUCAUAUUAGGACGAGAAACAUAAGUUGUUUGUCCAAAAAAAUUACGGAGCAAUUAUCAGCCAAAAAGUGGAGAAUUCAGUUGUAUGUAGAUCCAAAACGAACAAUGAGUUCAAAGUACAAUCAAUUCACCAUUCAAGCAGCUGAACCAAUGGA